rnacentral:rRNA from 1 species
GACGCUGGCGGCGUGCCUAAUACAUGCAAGUCGAACGGUCUUUCUAUGGAAGCUUGCUUCCACUGAGAAGAUAGUGGCGAACGGGUGAGUAACACGUGGGUAACCUGCCCAUAAGAGGGGGGAUAACAUCCGGAAACGGGUGCUAAUACCGCAUAGUUUUCUUGAUCGCAUGAUCGGGAAAGGAAAGACGGCCUUUGUGCUGUCGCUUAUGGAUGGACCCGCGGCGUAUUAGUUAGUUGGUGAGGUAACGGCUCACCAAGACGAUGAUACGUAGCCGACCUGAGAGGGUGAUCGGCCACAUUGGGACUGAGACACGGCCCAAACUCCUACGGGAGGCAGCAGUAGGGAAUCUUCCGCAAUGGACGAAAGUCUGACGGAGCAACGCCGCGUGAGUGAAGAAAGGUUUUCGGAUCGUAAAACUCUGUUGUCAGAGAAGAACAAGUUGGAGAGUAACUGCUCCAGCCUUGACGGUAUCUGACCAGAAAGCCACGGCUAACUACGUGCCAGCCGCUGC